rnacentral:rRNA from 1 species
GACGAACGCUGGCGGCGUGCUUAACACAUGCAAGUCGAACGGAAAGGCCCUGCUUUUGUGGGGUGCUCGAGUGGCGAACGGGUGAGUAACACGUGAGUAACCUGCCCUUGACUUUGGGAUAACUUCAGGAAACUGGGGCUAAUACCGGAUAGGAGCUCCUGCUGCAUGGUGGGGGUUGGAAAGUUUCGGCGGUUGGGGAUGGACUCGCGGCUUAUCAGCUUGUUGGUGGGGUAGUGGCUUACCAAGGCUUUGACGGGUAGCCGGCCUGAGAGGGUGACCGGCCACAUUGGGACUGAGAUACGGCCCAGACUCCUACGGGAGGCAGCAGUGGGGAAUAUUGCACAAUGGGCGGAAGCCUGAUGCAGCAACGCCGCGUUCGGGAUGACGGCCUUCGGGUUGUAAACCGCUUUCGCCUGUGACGAAGCGUGAGUGACGGUAAUGGGUAAAGAAGCCCCGGCUAACUACGUG